CUGCAGAAGAUGAACCACUGGAGGGGAGGAAGCAGACAAAUUGUUGAUUGUUCAACAAUUUGUCUGCUUCCUCCCCUCCAGUGGUUCAUCUUCUGCAGC
rnacentral:miRNA from 1 species